AGGACCCUUCCAGAGGGCCCCCCCUCAAUCCUGUUGUGCUUGAUUCAGAGGGUUGGGUGGAGGCUCUCCUGAAGGGCUCU
ensembl:miRNA